UCCCGGUUGGCCCGGGCAGUCUCGCAUGAAAAAUACAACAUACGAUAAGGGUUGCGCUCGUUGCGGGACUUAACCCAACAUUUCACAACACGAGCUGACGACGGCCAUGCAGCACCUGUCACUAGGCUCCCGAAGGCACUCCCUGAUUUCUCAAGGAUUCCUAGGAUGUCAAGCCUCGGUAAGGUUCUCCGCGUAUCGUCAAAUUAAACCACAUCAUCCACCGCUUGUGCGGGUCCCCGUCAAUUCCUUUGAGUUUUAGCCUUGCGGCCGUACUUCCCAGGCGGCAUACUUAUCGCGUUAGCUGCGUUUCGCAGGGGGUCGAUACCCCACAAAACUAGUAUGCAUCGUUUACGGCGUGGACUAC
rnacentral:misc_RNA from 1 species